GUGCCGAAUAAAAAACAGGGAGACCACGCAGUAUUUAAAGGACUGAAUCACUAGGGUUUUAGUCUCUGUAAGCAGACUCGGUUUAGCCGCGCUUUCUCUCCACCGCCAGGAUCUAGGGUUUUAUCCGAGCAGAGCUAAGGAAAUGGCUCCCGCCGCCCCCAAGAGUGGGAUCUUCGUCGGCCUCAACAAAGGCCACAUCGUCACCAAGCGUGAAUUGCCUCCUCGCCCAUCUGACCGCAAGGGGAAAACAAGCAAGAGGGUGCAUUUCGUGAGGAACUUGAUCAGGGAAGUUGCGGGAUUUGCUCCCUAUGAGAAGAGGAUUACGGAGCUUUUGAAGGUCGGGAAGGACAAGCGUGCUCUUAAGGUGGCCAAGCGAAAGUUGGGUACUCACAAGAGGGCCAAGAAGAAGAGAGAGGAGAUGUCUAACGUUCUCCGCAAGAUGAGGUCUGGUGGUGAUAAGAAGUGAGCAGUUAAAGGGUUGUCUUUAUGAAUGUAGCUCAGUAUCUCUAAUAGUUUUGGUUAUGCAUUUUUUCUUAAGGGAUUUUUAGACAUGGUAUGAACUUUGUAAUUCUGAAUGUUUUGAGACAUUCAAUAUUUUUGUUGCGACGGAUAUUUGCCCUUCAGUUCUCAAGCUAUGUCUUUCAAGUUGUGUUUAGCCUAGAUUUAUUCAUUGCUUGUUUGGUAUAUUAUGGAUGAAAGCAGCGUUCCUCUUAGUGGAGGUAGUGCUAUGGUUACUAGUAAUAGCUGAAGUCUAGAUCUGGCAUUUGCACUGUAGCAAUCGCUACAAAAGGUUGUGCUUGUGGAAACUUAUGUCUUACAGGCUCUAAAUUUCGUUAGGAGUUUAGUUUUUGGGUCAGAAUCACUUAUUAGUGUAUGCUUUUCCCUAAAAUCACUUUUGGUGAUUUCAUGGAAAAACAUUACCCCAUUUUACGGAUGAUCACCUCUGCUCUUGUCUAAAAGUUAUAGCCCUCCCAGA
rnacentral:sRNA from 1 species